UGUUUAUGGGUGCCGCUGGAGCUGGUCUCCACCAGCCUCUGGAGAACUAAGCAAAGCAGACUGCUGGCGAGUCUGACCACCUGCAGGACAGGCAAGAAACUACAGGCCCAAUCCGUGGAACUCUAACCCUCCUCUUCCUCCGGACUGACACGCAGUCGGUGAGUGUGUUGGCUGCCUGGACUGAUCGAUCGGCUUGGUUUGUCUGAAAAAGGUAGCGUCGCAGCAUCCAGGACAGGCACGCUGGACGAGAGCGCCCACUCCGAACCUGUCCCACUGAAGAACCGCAUGGCUGUGUACCAGGCGGCGGUUUCUAAACAGGACAGAGCAGGCUUCUCCAGUUCGGUCAUGGAGGAAGCCGAGGUUUGUUCCCCGCCUGGGGGUCUGGCCAGCGUGC
rnacentral:lncRNA from 1 species